AACGGCCGCGGUAUCCUAACCGUGCGAAGGUAGCGUAAUCACUUGUUCUUUAAAUGAGGACUAGUAUGAAUGGCACCACGAGGGUUAAACUGUCUCCUUUUUUUAAUCAGUGAAACUAAUCUCCCCGUGAAGAAGCGAGGAUUCUUUUAUAAGACGAGAAGACCCUAUGGAGCUUUAAACAAGUUAACACCUGCUACUAAUCNNUUCACUUUCCUGAACCACCACAUUAAGUAUAGCACCUCUGAUUAACAGUUUUCGAUUGGGGUGAUCAUGGAGCAAAAAUCAACCUCCACGACGAAAAGGAACACCUCCUUGAGCCAAAAGCUACAACUUUAAGCACUAAAAAACUAACGCACUUUGACCCAAUUCUUUGAGCAACGAACCAAGUUACCCUAGGGAUAACAGCGCAAUCCACUUUAAGAGCUCCUAUCGACAAGUGGGUUUACGACCUCGAUGUUGGAUCAGGGUAUCCCAGUGGUGCAGCCGCUACUAAAGGUUCGUUUGUUCAACGAUUAAAACCCUACGUGAUCUGAGUUCAGACCGGAGUAAUCCAGGUCAGUUUCUAUCUAUAAAGGGCUUUUUCUAGUACGAAAGGACCGAAAAAGCAUGGCCUAUAACCCAUCAAGCCAUAUAAAUUACUAUUGUUCCCAACUUAAAUAGAAGUAAACCUACCACUUAUCUCGAUAAAAGAGAAGUUAACGUAGCAUAACCUGGCCUUGCAG
rnacentral:rRNA from 1 species